UCGGGAAUUUUGGGCAAUGGGCGAAAGCCUGACCCAGCAACGCCGCGUGGAGGAUGAAUGUCGUAAGAUUGUAAACUCCUGUUAGAGGGGAAGAAUAGUACCGGUUGGACCGGUAUAUGACUGUACCCUCAGAGAAAGCCCCGGCUAACUACGUGCCAGCAGCCGCGGUAAUACGUAGGGGGCAAGCGUUGUCCGGAUUUACUGGGUGUAAAGGGCGCGCAGGCGGGAUAAAAAGUCAGUGGUGAAAUCCUACAGCUUAACUGUAGAACUGCCUUUGAUACUUUUAUUCUUGAGUUCGGGAGAGAGAGACGGAAUUCCAGGUGUAGUGGUGAAAUACGUAGAUAUCUGGAAGAACACCAGUUGCGAAGGCGGUCUCUUGGUCCGACACUGACGCUGAGGCGCGAAAGCGUGGGGAGCAAACA
rnacentral:rRNA from 1 species